rnacentral:rRNA from 1 species
AGUCGAACGAUGAAGANCGUGCUUGCACGGUUGGAUUAGUGGCGAACGGGUGAGUAUCACGUGAGUAACCUUCCCUUAACUCUGGGAUAAGCCCGGGAAACUGGGUCUAAUACCGGAUACGACCAGUCCUCGCAUGGGGUGCUGGUGGAAAGAUUUAUCGGUUUUGGAUGGACUCGCGGCCUAUCAGCUUGUUGGUGAGGUAAAGGCUCACCAAGGCGAUGACGGGUAGCCGGCCUGAGAGGGUGACCGGCCACACUGGGACUGAGACACGGCCCAGACUCCUACGGGAGGCAGCAGUGGGGAAUAUUGCACAAUGGGCGAAAGCCUGAUGCAGCGACGCCGCGUGCGGGAUGACGGCCUUCGGGUUGUAAACCGCUUUCAGCAGGGAAGAAGCGCAAGUGACGGUACCUGCAGAAGAAGCGCCGGCUAACUACGUGCCAGCAGCCGCGGUAAUACGUAGGGCGCGAGCGUUAUCCGGAAUUAUUGGGCGUAAAGAGCUCGUAGGCGGUUUGUCACGUCUGCUGUGAAAGCCCGGGGCUCAACCCCGGGUGUGCAGUGGGUACGGGCAGACUAGAGUGCAGUAGGGGAGACUGGAAUUCCUGGUGUAGCGGUGAAAUGCGCAGAUAUCAGGAGGAACACCGAUGGCGAAGGCAGGUCUCUGGGCUGUUACUGACGCUGAGGAGCGAAAGCAUGGGGAGCGAACAGGAUUAGAUACCCUGGUAGUCCAUGCCGUAAACGUUGGGCACUAGGUGUGGGGAACAUUCCACGUUUUCCGCGCCGUAGCUAACGCAUUAAGUGCCCCGCCUGGGGAGUACGGCCGCAAGGCUAAAACUCAAAGGAAUUGACGGGGGCCCGCACAAGCGGCGGAGCAUGCGGAUUAAUUCGAUGCAACGCGAAGAACCUUACCAAGGCUUGACAUGGACCGGACCGCUGCAGAGAUGCAGUUUCCCUUCGGGGUCGGUUCACAGGUGGUGCAUGGUUGUCGUCAGCUCGUGUCGUGAGAUGUUGGGUUAAGUCCCGCAACGAGCGCAACCCCUAUCCUAUGUUGCCAGCACGUUAUGGUGGGGACUCAUGGGAGACUGCCGGGGUCAACUCGGAGGAAGGUGGGGACGACGUCAAAUCAUCAUGCCCCUUAUGUCUUGGGCUUCACGCAUGCUACAAUGGCCGGUACAAUGGGUUGCGAUACUGUGAGGUGGAGCUAAUCCCUAAAAGCCGGUCUCAGUUCGGAUCGAAGUCUGCAACUCGACUUCGUGAAGUUGGAGUCGCUAGUAAUCGCAGAUCAGCAACGCUGCGGUGAAUACGUUCCCGGGCCUUGUACACACCGCCCGUCAAGUCACGAAAGUGGGUAANNCCCGAAGCCGGUGGCCUAACCCU